AGGGUUGAAAACUCUAAACUUAGUUUUCUAAUUGUGUUUUACUACAAAUACUAGAUUUUAACCCGCGGUAUACCGCGGGACGAUUUAUUUUUAAAAGUAAUAUAUAUUAAAACUUGCAAAUUUUAUUUUUACAAAAUAUUUAUAUUUUACAGUUUAUAAUUGUUAUUAAGCAUGCAUGAGACAAUUGUUAAAAAAACUAAAGUUUUGACCCCUAUUAAAACAGUAUAUUAAUCAUAU
rnacentral:sRNA from 1 species